rnacentral:rRNA from 1 species
AUUGAACGCUGGCGGCAUGCCUUACACAUGCAAGUCGAACGGUAACGGGCCUUCGGGUUCCGACUAGUGGCGCACGGGUGCGUAAUACAUCGGAACGUGUCCGAAUGUGGGUGUUAACGAGGCGUAACCUUUGCUAAUAUCCCAUACGACCUCCUACUACCAACAGGUGACCGCAUGGGCUCUCGCGCACUCACCCGCUUGUGUGAGACGAUGUCGGAUUAGGUAGUUGACGGGGUAAAGGCUUACCAAUGCGACGAUCCGUAGCUGGUCUGAGAGGAUGAUCAGCCACACUGGAACUGAGACACGGUCCAGACUCCUACGGGAGGCAGCAGUGGGGAAUUUUGGACAAUGGGCGCAAGCCUGAUCCAGCCAUGCCGCGUGCGGGAUGAAGGCCUUCGGGUUGUAAAGUGCUUUUGUACGGAACGAAAAGCAGUCUGUUAAUACAGGGGGGUCAUGACGGUACCGUAAGAAUAAGCACCGGCUAACUACGUG